rnacentral:rRNA from 1 species
UGAGGAAUAUUGGUCAAUGGGGGCAACCCUGAACCAGCCAAGUCGCGUGAAGGAUGAAGGUCUUAUGGAUUGUAAACUUCUUUUAUACAGGAAUAAAUUGGGGGACGUGUCCCCUUUUGCAUGUACUGUAUGAAUAAGGAUCGGCUAACUCCGUGCCAGCAGCCGCGGUAAUACGGAGGAUCCGAGCGUUAUCCGGAUUUAUUGGGUUUAAAGGGUGCGCAGGCGGGAUGUUAAGUCGGCGGUGAAAUUUUGCAGCUCAACUGUAAAAGUGCCUUCGAUACUGGCCUCCUUGAGUGUGGAUGAAGUAGGCGGAAUUUGUGGUGUAGCGGUGAAAUGCUUAGAUAUCACGAGGAACUCCGAUUGCGCAGGCAGCUUACUAAGCCACAACUGACGCUCAUGCACGAAGGCGUGGGGAUCAA